UACGUAGGGAGCAAGCGUUGUCCGGAUUUAUUGGGCGUAAAGAGCUCGUAGGCGGUUCGGUAAGUCGGGUGUGAAAACUCUAGGCUCAACCUAGAGAUGCCACUCGAUACUGCUGUGACUCGAGUCUGGUAGGGGAUCGCGGAAUUCCUGGUGUAGCGGUGAAAUGCACAGAUAUCAGGAGGAACACCGGUGGCGAAGGCGGCGAUCUGGGCCAGUACUGACGCUGAGGAGCGAAAGCGUGGGGAGCGAACAGG
rnacentral:rRNA from 1 species